CCACAACGCAAAAGCAAGAGUAUGGAUGCCCUCAAGAAAUGUGAUCACGACCCUCAUGUUAUUUCUGCUGUGGCCAAGCUGUUCUGGCAUGAUAGGAAGGUUGAUAAAGCUAGAACGUGGCUGAACAGGGCAGUUACUCUUGCUCCAGAUGUUGGGGAUUUCUGGGCUUUAUAUUACAAAUUUGAACUUCAACAUGGGACUGAGGAAAAUCAGAAGGAUGUUUUAAAGAGGUGCAUUGCUGCAGAACCAAGGCAUGGUGAGAAAUGGCAGGCAAUUUCAAAGGCUGUGGAGAAUGCUCACCAGCAAACUGAAGCCAUUCUGAAGAAAGUUGUGGUUGCACUUGGGAAGGAAGAGAAUGCCGCUGAAAGACAUUAGUUGAUUGUAAGCUUGUAGUUGGCUGCUACUGCCCCUGUUUGGUUGCAGGAUAGAUGAUUAGUGGCUUAGCACUCUUAAUGCCAAUUAGAAAUUAUAUUUGCCAUGUACUUCAUUGUGAGUUUUCCCUAUAUAAUAUUUUACCUAUUUA
rnacentral:misc_RNA from 1 species